rnacentral:rRNA from 1 species
AUGGGGUGAAGCACAGUUAAUCCUAUUUGGAGUAAGAUAUGGAAGUUAUCGUGUCCGGUAAAAGUCAAAAUUUUUAUAUGGCGUACAUUACAUGGAACGCUUCCAUGUCGGGUUACGCUCGCAAAUAGACAUAUGAAGGUCACGCCCAUUCGCCCUACUUGCUCUGAGGGUUCUGAAGAUACAAAGCAUAUGCUUUUCCUUUGCAGUAGAGCAAAGGAGGUUUGGACCAGGCUGGGGAUGGAUGAUAUCAUUGAUAAAGCUUGCAAGGUUGACCUUGCUGGAGAGGUGGUGCUGGAAUACCUACUACUUCUGCCAGACCAAGAGUUGAGGAUAAUGGGUCAUCACAAUGUGCGUGAAAUGAUUGCUGUUUCAGCAUGGUAUCUAUGGUGGGAAAGA